AUGGCGGCCGGAGGUGCACCCAUGCCUCCCAUGAGAGAAGCAAAAUUCAUGCCUCCCAUGGGGCUCCAAAGCCAGCAAUGCCUCCCAUUGCACCGCCCACGGUACCUCCGAAGCCACCCAUGCCACCCAUGGCGCCAAGGCCACCGCCACCCAUGUCCCGUCAGUGAGCUCGCCGGCGCUUCGGUAGCCGCCGCGCCCGUCGCACGCCCCGCAAGCUUCUUCCUCCUCGCCUUGGAGGUGCCGGAGCCGUCUGCCGCCUUGUUUUUCUUCACCGAUGUCUUGCCCUUCUUUGGCUGCGCCGCAUUGGGUAGCUUUGAGGAGGAGGGGGCGGCGGCUCGGGCCGCCGCCGGCGCUACGCCACCCGCUGCCGAGGUCAUCCGCGGCGGCAUGAAGAGGCCGCGGGCGAGGCCGAUGGUCGGAGGAGCUCCGGCGGAGGCGAGGCCAACGACACCCGGGCUAGGGUUUGCGGUGGUGGCGGGGGGUUGCGGCUAUAGGACGGGGGAUAUGGACGGACGAAAUGCCUCGGCGCAUUUUGGAGUUGGGAUAAUCUCACCGGGAGGCCCCGGCCCAUUCCCUCCCCCGAUGAAGUCCUGUGAAAAGAUGCACGUAGCUCUACCAUUGUUCGUAGGAGCCGCCGCUAGGAAACCGAUCGCCGCCAAGGUUGAUGCCGACAUUCCAAGACACUGGCCCAGCCUCCUGCCGGAGCUGUUGGCGGACAUCCACGAUCGCCUGGGAUUCCUCGACCGCAUUGCCUUCGCCGCGGUCUUCGCCGCAUCCUGCGACGACAACGACGUGUUCAAGCCGUCGGCCCCGUGGCUCUUCCUCCCCGGCAAGAACGAGGAGAACCCGGCGGCCGCUACGCUCUUCUCCGUCGCCGAUCGGUGCCCUGCCACGGUGCGUGCGCCGUACACUGCGCUGCGCGACGACCACGUCGUCCUCGGCUCCUCCCGUGGAUGGCUCUUCACGGCCGACGACCGAGGCCAGAUUUACCUCGUCAACCCCGCCACCGGCGAGCAGCACGCGCUCCCGAACAUCACCACCAUGGGCGUCUUCCUCCACACGCCCUAUGGGGGGUUCAUCAUGAACAUAUGGAGCUUCAUGGCCAUCCGAUUCGUCUUAGGGCCGUCGUUCAUUAGUGAUUCCUCGAGGCGUCUGGUGCACGGGGCGCACGUGUUGACCGCCGACGAAAUGCGUACGUCGUUCUACCGGAAGGUUGUCCUCUCGCCGGCCUCCCCGCGCCGCCCCGGCACUAUGGACGCUGUGUGGAUGCUGGCGCCGUCGCACGACGGCGUGGAGGACGCUAUCCACCACAACGGCUGGUUCCUCUCCGUCUCCUACACCGGCGUCGUGGAGGCGUGGCAACGUGACACUGAGUCAGGCGGUUACACAAGCACGGCUGUCACGCCAAGGCUGACCAUUGAGGAAGGCGGCUCGCCGUGCCAUCGCAAGUACCUGGCGACUGCCCCCGGUGGGCGGCUGAUGGUGGUGCUCAAGUACGCCCAGGUGACCAAGGGCAAGGAUCUGUACGGCCGGCAUAGGUGGACGUGCUCCUUCAAGGUGCAUGUCCUCGGCGCCGGGCAGUGGAAGGAGACGAGGGACAUUGGUGACGUCGCGCUGUUUGUCGGGGUGAACAACUCGUUGUGCGUGCCGACAAGUGGGCGCUCGGAUAUCAAGGCUGGGUGCAUCUACUUCACUGACGACGAACCGAGGGUCGCUGCGCUUGGCGAGCCCAAGGACUUAUGGGCUGACGAGUCCGACGCUCAGGCGGUCGGGGUGUACUGCCUCAAGGAUAGCACGGUAAAGAAGAUGGAGGCGCUCGGGCACCACUACCGUACGUUGUCAUCACCACCGGUGUGGAUCACGCCUUCUAUCCCAUGA
rnacentral:rRNA from 1 species